rnacentral:rRNA from 1 species
ACGUGAUCUGAGUUCAGACCGGAGUAAUCCAGGUCAGUUUCUAUCUAUAAAGGGCUUUUUCUAGUACGAAAGGACCGAAAAAGCAUGGCCAAUGACCAAUUAAGCCAUAUAAAUUACUUAUGACCUCAACUAAAUCAGAAAUAAACCUAACACUUAACUCAAAAAAAGAGUG